rnacentral:rRNA from 1 species
AGUGAACGCUGGCGGUAGGCCUAACACAUGCAAGUCGAACGGCAGCACAGUAAGAGCUUGCUCUUACGGGUGGCGAGUGGCGGACGGGUGAGGAAUACAUCGGAAUCUACUUUUUCGUGGGGGAUAACGUAGGGAAACUUACGCUAAUACCGCAUACGACCUACGGGUGAAAGCAGGGGAUCUUCUGACCUUGCGCGAUUGAAUGAGCCGAUGUCGGAUUAGCUAGUUGGCGGGGUAAAGGCCCACCAAGGCGACGAUCCGUAGCUGCUCUGAGAGGAUGAUCAGCCACACGGGAACUGAGACACGGUCCAGACUCCUGCGGGAGGCAGCAGUGGGGAAUAUUGGACAAAGGGCGCAAGCCUGAUCCAGCCAUACCGCGUGGGUGAAGAAGGCCUUCGGGUUGUAAAGCCCUUUUGUUGGGAAAGAAAAGCAGCAGGUUAAUACCCCGCUGUUCUGACGGUACCCAAAGAAUAAGCACCGGCUAACUUCGUG